UACGUAGGGUGCGAGCGUUGUCCGGAAUUAUUGGGCGUAAAGAGCUCGUAGGCGGUUUGCUGCGUCUAUCGUGAAAACCUGCAGCUUAACUGUGGGCUUGCGGUGGAUACGGGCAGACUUGAGUUCGGUAGGGGAGACUGGAAUUCCUGGUGUAGCGGUGAAAUGCGCAGAUAUCAGGAGGAACACCGGUGGCGAAGGCGGGUCUCUGGGCCGAUACUGACGCUGAGGAGCGAAAGCGUGGGGAGCGAACAGG
rnacentral:rRNA from 1 species